rnacentral:rRNA from 1 species
CUAAGCACUAAAAUCAUUGGAUUAAAACUUAAAGAGCAUGGCGGCCACAAAAAUGAUUAGGGGAACUUACCAAGUAAUAGACAACCCACACGUUAUUCCUCUUAUUUUUACAGUUUGUAUACCGCCGUCUAAGUAUUACUUAUGGUAGUGCUAAAAAUCUAUUUAAAAGAAAAGGACAGGUCAUGGUGCAGCCGAUAAAUAAGUUUAGGCGAGUUACAAUAAAAGAUUUUUUUUUAAAAAAUCUUUUAAAGAUUUAAAAAAGUGGACUUAAAAGUAAUAUUUAAAAGAAAUAUAAUCUGAAUCAAAAAUUUUGUGGUGU